UUGGAGCCAGAAGGAACUUCCUGUUUGGAACGAUCGCUCAGUCCAGUUCUCCAACAGUCAACAGAACACAGAAAGUAUCUGGAACUGCCAUCAACAAACAGUAGCUCCACCAGGGCGUCCUUGACCACCCGACAGGUGAGCAGCUCUUCGAUGUCAUCCUCAGUGAUGGCCUCUCCGGUGGACUCCAGCAUGGCUUUCAGCUCCUCCAGGUCGAUGUAGCCGUCUCCGUUCCUGCACACAGACAACAGAGUGGGGCAGGGUUGAGUGGGAGUCUGUUCACUGUUAGACCGAGCAGCAAGGAGAAAAAACCCUCAAGACUGAUGGAACACUGAGGUCCAGGUGUGCUUGGGUUGCUCCACCCAUGGGCAGGUCAGCGCACCAUCAUCACCAGGAACUCAUCAAAGUCCACGGUGCCGCUGCCUGUCAACAAACAGAGUCCAUGCUGGUGACACAGAGUCAGCUGAUCCCUAAACUCUACAGAUCCUGAUAGAAAUCUACGACAAAAAAGGUCUUCAUCAGGUGUGUGACGCACCGUCCUCAUCCACCUCAUCAAUCAUCUCCUGCAGCUCCUCCGGGGUGGGGUUCUGGCCCAGCAUCCUCAUCACCUUCCCCAGCUCCUUGGUGCUGAUGCAGCCAUCCUCAGCGUCC